UGGGGAAUAUUGGACAAUGGGCGCAAGCCUGAUCCAGCCAUACCGCGUGAGUGAAGAAGGCCCUCGGGUUGUAAAGCUCUUUUGUUGGGAAAGAAAUCCUGUCGGUUAAUACCUGGCAGGGAUGACGGUACCCAAAGAAUAAGCACCGGCUAACUUCGUGCCAGCAGCCGCGGUAAUACGAAGGGGGCAAGCGUUACUCGGAAUUACUGGGCGUAAAGCGUGCGAAGGGGGUUGUUUAAGUCUGUCGUG
rnacentral:rRNA from 1 species